CUUACCGCACCGUUUCACCCUUGCCCGGCCCGCAGGUCGGGCCGGGCAAGGGUGAAACGGUGCGGUAAGAGCGCACCAGUGCCCCGGGCGACCGGGGCAGCUCGGUAAACCCCACCGGGAGCAAGGUCAAGCAGGGGGCGGCGGCCCGCCAGCGUCGAUUGCGGCGCAGCCCCCGGGUAGGCCGCUGAGAUGGAUGGUCACCCAGGGCCUUCGGGCCUGGACAGAACCCCGCCUACAGGCUGACUCGCCGU
rnacentral:RNase_P_RNA from 1 species